rnacentral:lncRNA from 11 species
GGAGAUACUUGGGUUCAAGCCAGCUGAGAAAAUACUUGUCCGUUUCCCCUUUUUAAAAUGCAAGACAUCUUCCGCAGACAAUGCCCGCUUUCAGUUUUGAAGGGAAUACAGUAUUUUCAGUUUUCAGCAGAAGCUAUUUGGAGCAUUAUAGACGCCUGAGCCUCUAACAUCUUUGGCAAUCCUAGGCCUGCCAUGUUGUGCCAUUCACUUGCCCAGUUAAGCUAUUGUAUUGUUCCUUGUUCCCCAGGAUUUCUGUAAAACAAAGUGCUUUUCCAAAACCAUGGGUGGAAAUUAAAACCAUAGAAGCUCAAGAGACCUGUAGUCCAACCGCUGCCAUGCAGGAAUACUCAUCUAAUGCCAGCAAGAAAUAAACAUUCCUAUUAUUUCUUGCACAAUGCUUGUGUCCAGAACUCAUCCACUAUUGUCUUCUAUUUCAUCCCAGGAGGUUGGGGGUAAAGGAAAAGUCACCUUGGCAGCAGCCACACCUUUGUACUAGUCGAAUGGUGUUUUCUUCUCUUCCUCUUCCCCAGCAGAUCUUCUGGCAAAGCUGGGAAGCCUCAAUCCUUCUGGAAAGAUAGAUGCAGAUGCCUAGCAGCAUUGUAUUGGAAGGCUGGCAUGCCAAGGAAAGGAGAGACUGAAGGAGCAGCUGCCCAGAUGGCAAGGAGGCAGCAUCCUCCUCUUGUUCAGAUCAAAGGAUGACAGCAUUUGGAGCGAUCUGGGCAGCGAUAAAUUACAAACCAUAACCCUUUUUACUACCACCUUAGCUGGGAUUCUGGCCACCCAUCCAACACAAGCACCACUAAGAGGUUCUGUUUUCAAGAAAACCUUGACAGUUCACACAAGUUUCUUCAUGCAUGAGCAUGCCUACAACUCUCAGUCAAAAUACAAGGAACAUUGAAGGCCUAGACAGGCUCUCAGGCCCUAUUGAUAAUAUUGAUAAUAAUAUUAUAAUGUAAUACAAUACAAUAAUAAUAAUAAUCUUGUAUAAUUGUAUAUUUAUAUUACAUG